UACGGGGGGGGCGAGCGUUGUUCGGAAUCACUGGGCGUAAAGGGCGCGUAGGCGGCCCGCACAAGUCUGCGGUGAAAACCCCCGGCUUAACCGGGGGCCGGCCGUGGAAACUGUCGGGCUGGAGGCUGGGAGAGGGCAGCGGAAUUCCCGGUGUAGCGGUGAAAUGCGUAGAGAUCGGGGAGGAACACCGGCGGCGAAGGCGGCUGCCUGGACCAGUCCUGACGCUGAGGCGCGAAAGCUAGGGGAGCAAACAGGG
rnacentral:rRNA from 1 species